CUAUCUAAUUUGCUGGCUUUAAGAGGAAGAUUAUGAUUAAGAUAGUGUCUUCCACUAUCUAAUUAUAUUAUCAACUCCUUUUCUUUAACUUUGCUAAAGCCAUGCUUUCCACCUCUUCAACCACCACCCUUUGCUCCCCACCAAUACACCUAACUCUCCAUACUUCAUUUUUUUUAUUUCUCCACCACUACAUUACAUAUUCAGCACUACAUCUUGCAGAUUCCUCAUUAAGAAAUCCUCUCUCUCUAAUCUUCUAAAUUACCAUUUUCUUUCCUCCUACUCCUCACGGGUCCUUCAAAGAAAUUAUCAAGUUUGUUUCAAGUUCCAAAUCAAGAAGGUAGGUAAUUAAAUGUCUUACUCUUCAUUAAUCUUCCAGUUUCAAUUUCAAAAAAAUUCAUUCUUACUUUGUGAUCAACAAAUUGCAGAAUCGAACUAUUGCCAACACCACCCCUCAUAUCAAGGUUGAGCAGGCGAUGGAAUGGAUUGGUGUUGAGUGGAUUUCCCUUUUGAUGUUUAUGUAAUGAAACCUUGAGUAUGCAUCUCCAUAUGCAUAACUCACAUGUUUUUCCGCUGCAAACACUCUGAAUUUGUUAUCGUAUUGUGGAACUUAUUACUCCUUCAUUUUGUUUAACUUUCAUUUGGGGUUUAGUCGUUAUGGCUGGCUCAUUUGUUAAUUACCCAAGUGGUUAUAUAUAUAUAUAUAUAUACCACUAGUUUGUUGUUAUUAAUGUUGGUUAUUUAGUAAAUCCCUUUUAAAUUUCCAUUUCUUAUUGUUCACCCAAGUCAUAACCCCGGUUAACCCGUCAUUGGGAUAGUGGGCUGUGACAGAGUGGUAUCAGAGCCGUUCGUUUGCUCUGGCCCUAGAAACCAUUUUCUAAAAAGUCAUGUCUAGUUUGAUUCACUUGACAUAUGUGGGAUCAUACGACACCGCUCAACACUCCAUUGCAUCGUGCUCAAUCAAGGAAAAAGGUAACUGCAGUUACAAAGUUUUAAAGAUGUUAUUAUUCUAAACUGUUUCAUGAAAAUGUUUAUGUAAAGAGCAUGCUAUGAUGAAAUGUUGAAUGUUUUGCCUUUCACUGAAA